GCAGUGGUAGUUCAGUGGUACAUUUCUUGCCUUCCGUGUGGGAGACCUGGGUUCAAUUCCCUACCAGUGCA
rnacentral:tRNA from 1 species